GCCGGAGUGGCGGAACUGGCAGACGCGCUGGAUUCAAAAUCCUGUGCCCGCAAGGGCGUGAGGGUUCGACUCCCUCCUCCGGCA
rnacentral:tRNA from 1 species